AUUUGGGAACCAUUAUGUUCUUAGAUCUGGUCCUCGGGAAUAGCUACGAGACACUCUAGUCCCAGCUCAGGACUGGAACCUUUGCCAUGUGCUGUGUUAACGUCUGCUGCCGCCUCCUUGGUGAGGUCUGUGGGUGCAGUGUUAAGUUCUGGAUUUUGUUCCUUGGUAGCAUGGAGAGGUUGGAAGAAAAGGAGGAUGGGAUUUUGACACAGAAAAAGAUUUUUUUAAAGAGCAUCCCUAUUAUUUUACUUUUAAUACCUGAUGGCCUGAUGUCUCAUGAUGGGAUACCUCUAAAAAGAAAUACUUGUUACUGGCUCUUAAUAGUUUACUAUCUAUCAACAACCUCAUCCCCAGUUUCCCUUUUGUUUCCAAACAAGGAAGUCUGAUAAUCUACAGGGCUGCAAUCCCAUGUACUCACUGAGCCUGUCAGCUCUCCAUAAUGAAAUGACCUUGGCUGAACUUCAUUCAGAGGGUUUAGCCAGGAGAGAGGAUUAAAUGUACUAAGAGCGCAGUUCCUGGAGAGGAAUGGAGAGUGAGCCAGGUGGCCUGGAAUUCCAUGGCUUCUCGAUGCAAAAGUGUGAGCAGCCUGACGCCAGAUACUCGCCUUACACCUUGGUGCGGAUAACGGAGGCAGAGAUGAGGGCGUAUUACCGUUUCCUAGGGAGCUGCAUCACGCUGGAAUAUAGGGCCAAAAAAGCGCUUCCGCUGCUCAAAUCCUCCCUGUCCUCUGAAGCAGAGUGUGUCUCCGAGGUCAGCAGUAACACAGCCCACAAUCCAUCAUAGCACUCGGAUGUGAUUGCCUUUUCUUUGGAGGACCUAGACCAAGAGGCGUUGACUAUCUCUGUGGGGCUGAGCAGCCUUGGGGAGUAGACGUUCAUGGCAACCAUGCGCCCUGCUGUACUGAGCUAUGGAUCCUGAGUGACAGAGGCACCUGUUCAUGUGCUUAUGGGAGGGAGGCUGUGAUAUAUGGAGCCUUCAAGUGCAGGGCGUGGGUCAGAAAUCACGAGGAAACUUUCUGGGAGAUGAAAGCGAUCCAUAUCUUGAUCCGCCACAUGGUUACAUCACUGUACAUAUUGGUCAGAAUUCAUCAUGUUGUGUACUUAGGAUUGGUACAUUCCAUUGAAUGUAAAUUAUACCUCAAUAAAGUAUUGUUUAUAUAAAAAUAAA